GGCUCAGACCGAACGCUGGCGGCGUGGAUUAGGCAUGCAAGUCGUACGCGAAAGAGGGGGCAACCCCUCGAGUAGAGUGGCGAACGGGUGAGUAACGCGUGAAGAACCUGCCUUCGACAGGGGGAUAACACUCCCAACGGGGUGCUAAUACCGCAUGAGACCACGGGGUCGCAUGAUCCUGAGGUCAAAGGUGGCCUCUAUUUAUAAGCUACCGGUCGAAGAUGGCUUCGCGUCCCAUUAGCUAGUUGGCGGGGUAACGGCCCACCAAGGCGACGAUGGGUAGCUGGUCUGAGAGGAUGGUCAGCCACACUGGGACUGAGAUACGGCCCAGACUCCUACGGGAGGCAGCAGUCGAGAGGCUUCGGCAAUGGGGGAAACCCUGACCGAGCGACGCCGCGUGGGGGAUGAAGGCCUUUGGGUUGUAAACCCCUUUUGUUCGGGAAGAAACGCGAUCAGGUGAACAAUCUGGUCGUCUGACGGUACCGGACGAAUAAGCUCCGGCUAACUCCGUGCCAGCAGCCGCGGUAACACGGGGGGAGCAAGCGUUGUUCGGAAUCACUGGGCGUAAAGGGCGUGUAGGCGGUCUGGCAAGUGAGAUGUGAAAUCCCUCGGCUCACCCGAGGAUCGGCAUCUCAUACUGCUAGGCUUGAGUACGGGAGAGGACAAGGGAAUUCCUGGUGUAGCGGUGAAAUGCGUAGAUAUCAGGAGGAACACCGGUGGCGAAAGCGCUUGUCUGGCCCGAUACUGACGCUGAGGCGCGAAAGCUAGGGGAGCAAACGGGAUUAGAUACCCCGGUAGUCCUAGCCGUAAACGGUGAUCACUAGGUGUUGGGGGCAUUGACCCCUCCAGUGCCGCAGCUAACGCAAUAAGUGAUCCGCCUGGGGAGUACGGCCGCAAGG
rnacentral:rRNA from 1 species